rnacentral:rRNA from 1 species
AUUGAACGCUGGCGGCAGGCCUAACACAUGCAAGUCGAGGCGUGAAAGUUCCUUCGGGAGCGAGUAGAGCGGCGGACGGGUGAGUAACGCGUAGGAAUCUGCCCAGUAGUGGGGGACAACAUGGGGAAACUCAUGCUAAUACCGCAUACGCCCUAAGGGGGAAAGCAGGGGAUCUUCGGACCUUGCGCUAUUGGAUGAGCCUGCGUCGGAUUAGCUAGUUGGUGGGGUAAUGGCCUACCAAGGCGACGAUCCGUAGCUGGUCUGAGAGGAUGAUCAGCCACACUGGGACUGAGACACGGCCCAGACUCCUACGGGAGGCAGCAGUGGGGAAUAUUGGACAAUGGGGGAAACCCUGAUCCAGCCAUGCCGCGUGUGUGAAGAAGGCCUUCGGGUUGUAAAGCACUUUCAAUAGGGAGGAAAAGUUAAUGGCUAAUACCCAUUAACCCUGACGUUACCUAUAGAAGAAGCACCGGCAAACUCCGUGCCAGCAGCCGCGGUAAUACGGAGGGUGCGAGCGUUAAUCGGAAUUACUGGGCGUAAAGCGCGCGUAGGCGGUUUGAUUAGCUGGAUGUGAAAGCCCCGGGCUUAACCUGGGAAUUGCAUCCAGAACUGUCAGGCUAGAGUACAGUAGAGGUGAGUGGAAUUUCCUGUGUAGCGGUGAAAUGCGUAGAUAUAGGAAGGAACAUCAGUGGCGAAGGCGGCUCACUGGACUGAUACUGAC